AAGGGUGUAGUUUAAUGGUAGAACAAAAGUCUCCAAAACUUUUGGUGCGGGUUCGAUUCCUGUCACCCUUGCCA
rnacentral:tRNA from 1 species